CAUCAACAUCAUUAACAGAUGAAGUACCAGUCUCUGGUAAUAAUGAAGAUGAUACUUUGGUAUUUAGUCAUUUAGAUGCAAGCAUUGUACAUCAUGGAAAUGUCAAUGUUAAAAAGACUGUAGGGUUAAGCGAAGAACAUGGUUAUAGCAAGACACCAAUUA